rnacentral:rRNA from 1 species
CCAUCCGCCAGAGAACUACGAGUGAAAAACUUAAAACUCUAAGGACUUGACGGUGCCCCACAUCAACCUAGAGGAGCCUGUCCUAUAAUCGAUACUCCACGCUAAACCUCUCCCCCCCUCGUACCAAUUCAGCCUAUAUACCGCCGUCGCCAGCUUGCCUAGUGAUAGACACCCAAAGCAAGCAAAACAGUGCCUCACUAGAACGUCAGGUCAAGGUGUAGCCAAUGGGGAGGCCAGAGAUGGGCUACAUUUUCUAACCCCCUAGAAAACACUUCAGGCAAGAUGAAAUUUAAGCCGCCCGGCGGAUUUAGUAGUAAAUCUAGACAAGAACUGCCUAAUUGAAACAUGCCCUGGGGCGCGUACACACCGCCCGUCACCCUCCUCAACUAAAAACACCAGCAUACAUAAAACCAAACUACCACCACCACAGAUGAGGCAAGUCGUAACAUGGUAAGCGCACCGGAAGGUGAGCUUGGCACACCU